UACGUAGGGUGCGAGCGUUGUCCGGAAUUAUUGGGCGUAAAGGGCUCGUAGGCGAUUUGUCGCGUCGGGAGUGAAAACUCAGGGCUUAACCCUGAGCCUGCUUCCGAUACGGGCAGACUAGAGGUAUGCAGGGGAGAACGGAAUUCCUGGUGUAGCGGUGAAAUGCGCAGAUAUCAGGAGGAACACCGGUGGCGAAGGCGGUUCUCUGGGCAUUACCUGACGCUGAGGAGCGAAAGCGUGGGGAGCGAACAGG
rnacentral:rRNA from 1 species